GAUUUGGCGUAACCAUCUCCUCUGAUCUCGCGGGAGCAUUUAAGGGCUGAAUUAUCUCUUCCAAUUUGGCAUGUCCAAUGGUCCGACAAUCUUAAGAUCGUGCAAUCUCACAACUAAUGAUCUAACUAUUCGACAUUCUUCUAUAUAAACAACCAGAGCCUCAAGAAUUCAAAAAAGUUUAAUCGAAUCCCUCUCAGAGAACUCGUUGCUGCUUUUUUGUUCUUUACUUUUCUGACUUG
rnacentral:lncRNA from 1 species